UUUUACGGACUGAUCCAAGCACAUGGGAAACUAAUAAAGAAUAUCUAAGUGGAAAGAAAACAGUGGAAUCUUUAAAAGUUGUGAAUGACAUAGCAGAGCGAAGAGUGUCUUUAAUUUCAUCUUUUAAUUCAGUUUUGACCAAUCAAGAGGAGCAAAAACAGUUUUUACUGCAAGUCGUUGAAAAACAUCGUCAACAGUAUCCUGAUCCAAAC